AUCAUCGCAGCGCCACGGGAUUCCAAGCAGUUGCCGGCGGAGGCUGAAGCGGUGCUGCCGGGCACCCAGGGUCUGCGGAGACGGUAAUCAUCAGGCGCCGUUUGGAGAGCGACAGGAAAACAAGUUUCGGGGAGGAUUUUGCUCUGCAAUUCCUCACCCGAGUGAGCAGGUCAGGAUCAGGUCCUUGGGCAACGCUGCUGGUGGCACUGGCAGGGCUAGAGCUGGGUGGGGAGCGAGGGGCUCUUGUGCUUUCAGGCCUGUGGCCCAUGUCCAGAAAAAACAUGAAACAUCAAGAAGGAGCCGACAGGACCCUGCCCUUGGUGUGAGGGACUGAGUAACGCUCCCUGCAGCUAUGUGUGCAGGGUGCAGGAGCUGGGCAUGCUCUGAAUGUCACCCCCCGCAAGGCCGUGAUAAGAAAUGUUGCUUCUUUAACUCUGCAUGUGUUUUAUCUCCAAUUCAGAAUAUCUUUUCUGGCACAGGUGUCGCACAUCUUCUCAAUGGUACCCAGGACAGGGCUCCCUUCCCCGCCAGGAUGGCUGGAGUGCGGUGCACAGCCAGUGUGGACUGGACCCUGGUUACAAUCCACUUAGAGCCAUCUUUCUUGAUGGCGCAUAGCAGGACAAUUGGUCUUUCCUGGGUACCAGUACGCCUGGAAUAAAGCUGCAGGCACAAGCCAGAAGCACCUGUGAGGUGCAAAAAGUCCAGUGCAGGGUGGCAGGAGUUUCCCGUGGAUGGCAGGGAAGGGCCAGGAAGGGAAGAUAAGGGAAGAAGACCAGUCCUGGCAUGGGCAAGCAGAGAGGGGAAAGUGCGGGAGGGAGGAAAAGUGUAGAUUUGUUUGCGGGGAAGAGGCUGUGCACGAGGAUGGCUUCCAACAGGAUGGCAUAGUCCCUUUUAGGGGUAGGCGUCCCCCCAUCGAGGGCAGCGACUGCAGUUUGAGGCAGCGAGGGACAUCAAUCGGAGGAGACGCAGGAGACCUAAGCACCGGAGCCGGAGGGAGGAGUGCGGCGUCACCAGGGCCUGUGAGCACCCGCCCAGCAGCGCUCCAUCCCGCAGGGCAGUGAUUCCCAGCCCGGCCGGCGAGGAGGUGGAGGAAGAGGAGGAUGAAGAGGAGGAGGAGUAAGAUGGAAGGUCCCCGGAAGAAGCUGCCCUCUUCCUUGUGAAGAAACACCUGCAGGACCCAGAGGAGCUAUGAAACUUCCCCAGCGGAGCCGGCACCCAGUCAGUCCUCCAUUCUGCCAUGCAGCCCAUGGCAGGAGUUCACCCCCUGGGACUGGGAGCACGCAAGGGGACACACUUAGCCCAGGGGCGCUGCUCGAGAUGCUGGAUGGGAAGGACAGGCAGCGCUUCCUGCUGGCCAUCAUUAGCAUGACCAUCGCCACGGACCAGAGCAGAGAGGUGGCUGUGGAGCUGGAGGGCCUGAAAGCGACUGUGCUGGACAGGA